UGGGGAAUAUUGGACAAUGGGCGCAAGCCUGAUCCAGCAAUGCCGCGUGUGUGAAGAAGGCCUGCGGGUUGUAAAGCACUUUCAGUGGGGAGGAGAGGCGCUAGGCUAAUAUCCUAGUGAAGAGACGUUACCCACAGAAGAAGCACCGGCUAACUCUGUGCCAGCAGCCGCGGUAAUACAGAGGGUGCAAGCGUUAAUCGGAAUUACUGGGCGUAAAGGGUGCGUAGGUGGUUUGAUAAGUUGUGUGUGAAAGUCCUGGGCUUAACCUGGGGAUUGCGCAUAAUACUGUUGAGCUAGAGUACUGUAGAGGAAGGUGGAAUUUCCAGUGUAGCGGUGAAAUGCGUAGAUAUUGGAAGGAACAUCAGUGGCGAAGGCGACUUUCUGGACAGAUACUGACACUGAGGCACGAAAGCAUGGGGAGCAAACAG
rnacentral:rRNA from 1 species